AUCAUUUCCAUAAUAAAUAUUUUAUUUUAUUUUUUUCUGAUCGGUAAAAUCCGAUAAUUUUUUUUAUAUAAAAAAUAGCGUAAAAAUUUACUAAUUAUCUCUUCUUCUAUUAUUUUUUCACAUCAUCCGAUUGAAGGGAGAAAUUCAAUUUUGUGUGAAAAUACAGGAUCUAAUUUUAUGGUUGUUUGGUGUUCAGCGGGCUGUUUGGAUGGUGGUUUUAAUGAGUUCGUUAAACGGGUGAGGAAGAGAUUUAGGGCUUUGCAUUUGAGGUCCGGCUCCUCCUCCUGCCAAGGCGUUCGGGCGAGCAUGAGCAGGCAGGCCGUGCCGUGGCUUCAGCGCGACGCCCCGACCUGCCUCGUCGGAGAUCGCGGCCCCACAUGACCAGCUUUACGCCGGCUCGCCUUUCGACCACGUCGUUCGGCUCCUUCGACCGAUCUGGCCGCCGUGCUUGCCCAGCUCCAGCGCCAAGAUCGUUGGUUUCCUCUCCAAGAAGGCAUCUUGAGCGUUGUGUGCCUGCAGUUAGGUCUUUGUUCGGAGAUGCUGUUUAUCUAACCUUGGCCACAAGGGUAGGUGGUGGUGGUGGAGAUAAGUUUGAAUCUCUUAAGCUUGAAAGGAAGCAUCCUUGGAGGCCACACAAAACCAGUGAGCGUCUUCAUCCUAAGAUACCUCUGAAACUUAAUUCUGCAUAUGCUAUUCAUUCAGAAUUGGCACGCGUGUCUUACUUGUUAAGUUUCCAACUUAUUUCCUACAAGUAAUUCUAACCUAUGUAUCUGGGCAAGUUAGGAUUAUAUUCUUGAUUGAUGGGAUGAUCAAAUUGUGUUGUUCUGCUUUCCCGAUGCAAAGCUGUAUCGUUCUGAUCUAAUCAUCUGCCGUUACUCGCAUUCUAUUCUA